rnacentral:rRNA from 1 species
AGAGUUUGAUCCUGGCUCAGGAUGAACGCUAGCGGCAGGCUUAACACAUGCAAGUCGAGGGGCAGCACGAGUAGCAAUAUUUGGUGGCGACCGGCGCACGGGUGAGUAACGCGUAUGCAAUCUACCUUUAACUGGGGGAUAGCUCCGAGAAAUCGGAAUUAAUACCCCAUAACAUUAUUGAAAGACAUCUUUUAAUAAUUAAAGUUCCGACGGUUAGAGAUGAGCAUGCGUGCCAUUAGUUUGUUGGUAGGGUAACGGCCUACCAAGACUACGAUGGCUAGGGGGUCUGAGAGGAUGAUCCCCCACACUGGUACUGAGACACGGACCAGACUCCUACGGGAGGCAGCAGUGAGGAAUAUUGGUCAAUGGGCGCAAGCCUGAACCAGCCAUGCCGCGUGAAGGAUGAAUGCCCUAUGGGUUGUAAACUUCUUUUGUACGGGACGAAACCCCUGAACGUGUUCAGGGCUGACGGUACUGUACGAAUAAGCAUCGGCUAACUCCGUGCCAGCAGCCGCGGUAAUACGGAGGAUGCAAGCGUUAUCCGGAUUCAUUGGGUUUAAAGGGUGCGUAGGCGGGAAAAUAAGUCAGUGGUGAAAGCCUACAGCUUAACUGUAGAAUUGCCAUUGAUACUGUUAUUCUUGAGUACAGUUGAAGUGGGUGGAAUGUGUGGUGUAGCGGUGAAAUGCUUAGAUAUCACACAGAACGCCAAUUGCGAAGGCAGCUCACUAAGCUGUUACUGACGCUGAGGCACGAAAGCGUGGGGAUCAAACAGGAUUAGAUACCCUGGUAGUCC